rnacentral:tRNA from 1 species
UCUCCUAUAGCUCAGUUGGUAGAGCGUGUGGGCUGUUAACCGCAAGUCGCCGUUCGAACCCGGCUGGGAGAG